CCCUUCCUCUACUAAAUGAGCCCCGUCACAAAACUAACGUUCUCCUUAAGCCUUCUACUAGGAACAACCAUCACAAUUUCAAGCAAUCACUGAAUACUAGCCUGGACUGGACUAGAAAUCAGCACCCUUGCCAUUAUCCCCUUCAUUUCAAAAUCACACCACCCUCGAGCUAUCGAAGCUGCAAUCAAAUACUUUCUCGUCCAAGCAACCGCCUCCGCAUUAAUCCUCUUCUCAAGCACAAUCAAUGCACAAUUCACCGGACAAUGAGACAUUCUGCGACUAAGCCACCCAACAGCCUCCCUACUACUAACUACAGCAAUCGCAAUAAAACUAGGCCUAGUACCCUUUCACUUCUGAUGUCCAGAGGUCAUACAAGGCUCACCUAUAACCACUGCCCUACUCCUCUCUACAUUAAUAAAACUCCCCCCCAUCACUAUUCUUUUCUUAACUGCCCCCUCACUGAACCCACUCCUACUGACAACCGUGGCCAUUGCAUCCGCAGCCAUCGGAGGGUGAAUAGGACUUAACCAAACACAAAUCCGAAAAGUCCUAGCUUUCUCAUCAAUCGCCCACCUAGGCUGAAUAACCAUCAUCCUCAUAUACAACCCCAAGCUAACAAUAAUAACCUUCUACCUAUACUCCAUAAUAACCGCCUCCAUUUUCUUAGCCCUCAGCACAACCAACUCCUCAAAACUAUCCACAAUAAUAACCUCCUGAACAAAAAUACCAUCACUAAACGCAUCCUUGAUGCUAGCACUACUAUCCCUAGCCAGCCUACCCCCACUCACUGGCUUUUUACCAAAAUGACUCAUUAUCCAGGAACUAACUAAGCAAGAGAUAUCAACCGCAGCCAUAAUUAUUUCAAUACUCUCCCUACUAGGUUUAUUUUUCUACCUACGCCUUGCAUAUUGCUCCACAAUCACACUCCCACCAAACACUACAAACUUCGUAAAACAAUGAUACAAUAACAAAUCCACAGGCACACCAAUUGCUACCUUAAUUUCCCUGUUAGUCCUCCUUCUCCCCCUUUCUCCCGCGAUCUUGACCAUUACCUAAGAAACUUAGGUUACCCUGCCUACCAAACCGAAGGCCUUCAAAGCCUUAAAUAAGAGUUAAAUCCUCUUAGUUUCUGCCCACACCACUAAGGCCCGCAGGACACUAAACCUGCACCAUCUAAAUGCAACUCAGAUACUCUAAUUCAGCUAGGGCCUCCACGAUAAGCCUAGACAGAUGGGCCUCGAUCCCAUAAACUUCUAAUUAACAGCUAGACGCUCAAACCAACAAGCUUCUGUCUACCGGACUCCGGCACACUCUCAGUGUACAUCAAUGAGUUUGCAACUCAACAUGAACUUCACCACAGAGUCGAUAAGAAGAGGAAUUAAACCUCUGUAAAAAGGACUACAGCCUAACACCUAAACACUCAGCCAUCUUACCCAUGACCUUCAUCAACCGAUUACUAUUUUCAACAAACCACAAAGACAUUGGUACCCUAUACCUACUCUUCAGAGCAUGGGCAGGCAUAGCCGGUACGGUACCGCCCUCAGCCUCCUUAUUCGAGCAGAACUCGGCCAACCAGGAACUCUCCUAGGAGACGAACAAAUCAUCGUCACCACCCAUGCCUUCGUAAUAAUCUUCUUCAUAGUUAUACCCAUUAUAAUCGGAGGGUUUGGAAACUGACUAGUGCCCCUUAUGAUUGGAGCCCCAGACGUAGCAUUCCCCCGCAUAAACAACAUAAGUUUCUGACUACUUCCUCCAUCCUUCCUACUGCUCCUAGCGUCCUCCACAGUAGAAGCUGGAGUCGGAACAGGAUGAACCGUAUACCCGCCCCUAGCAGGCAACCUAGCCCAUGCUGGUGCCUCAGUAGACCUAGCCAUCUUCUCCCUACACCUCGCAGGUGUGUCUUCCAUCUUAGGGGCCAUCAACUUUAUCACAACAGCCAUUAACAUAAACUCCCCUGCCUUAUCGCAAUAUCAAACUCCCCUAUUCGUAUGAUCCGUACUCAUCACCGCCGUACUCCUAUUGCUCUCACUUCCAGUCCUGGCCGCCGGCAUCACCAUACCACUGACCGACCGAAACCUAAACACUACAUUCUUUGACCCCGAUGGAGAAGGAGACCCCAUUCUCUACCAGCACCUGUUCUGAUUCUUUGGCCACCCAGAAGUUUACGUCUUAAUCCUUCCCGGCUUUGGAAUCAUCUCACACGUUGUAACAUAUUACGCAGGCAAAAAAGAACCAUUCGGCUACAUAGGAAUAGUCUGAGCUAUACUAUCGAUUGGAUUCCUCGGCUUUAUCGUAUGAGCCCACCACAUAUUCACUGUCGGAAUAGACGUAGACACCCGAGCAUACUUCACCUCUGCCACUAUAAUCAUCGCCAUCCCAACUGGCAUUCAGGUAUUCAGCUGACUGGCCACACUACACGGAGGCACCAUCAAAUGAGAUCCACCGAUACUGUGAGCCUUGAGCUUCAUCUUCCUCUUCACAAUUGGAGGACUAACAGGUAUUAUACUAGCAAACUCCUCAUUAGACAUUGCCUUACACGACACAUACUAUGUAGUCUCCCACUUUCAUUACGUCCUCUCAACAGGAGCUGUAUUUGCCAUCCUAGCCGGAUUUACCCACUGAUUCCCACUAUUUACCGGAUACACCCUCCACCCCACAUGAUCUAAAACCCACUUCAGAAUUAUAUUCAUCGGCAUAAACCUAACAUUCUUCCCCCAACAUUUCCUAGGUCUAGCCGGCAUACCACGACGUUACUCAGACUACCCUGACGCCUACACCCUAUGAAACACCCUAUCCUCUAUUGGCUCCCUAAUUUCAAUAACAGCCGCAAUCUUACUAAUAUUCAUCAUCUGAGAGGCAUUUGCAGCAAAACGAAAAGUCCUCCAAACAGAAUUAACCGCUACCAACAUCGAGUGAAUCUACGGCUGCCCACCCCCCUAUCACACCUUUGAAGAACCAACCUUCGUCCAAACCCAAGAAAGGAAGGAAUCGAACCCUCACACGCUGGUUUCAAGCCAACUGCAUCAAACCGCUUAUGCUUCUUUCUUAU